UGUCUACUCCUUUCGUUUGAAAUUACUUGUCACAGAAAUGAAUGUAUCUAAGAAAUGGAUGUAUCUAGACGUAUUUUAGUUCUAGAUACAUCCAUAUCUGAGACAAGUAAUUCUGAAGAAAGGAAGUACCGG
rnacentral:pre_miRNA from 1 species